GAUGAAGAACGCAGCGAAAUGCGAUAAGUAGUGUGAAUUGCAGAAUUCGGUGAAUCAUCGAAUCUUUGAACGCACAUUGCGCCCCUCGGUAUUCCGUGGGGCAUGCCUGUUCGAGCGUCAUUUAACCCCUCAAGCCUAGCUUGGUAUUGGGUGCUUGUCCCGCCUCUCGCGCGGCGACUCACCUCAAAGUCAUUGGCAGCCCGCAUCUCGCCGGCCGUGAGCGCAGCACAGACGCGCUCUUGGCAACGACGGAUCGGCUCUCCAAAAGCUUAUUUCAACCACUGACCUCGGAUCAGGUAGGGAUACCCGCUGAACUUAAGCAUAUCAAUAAGCGGAGGA
rnacentral:misc_RNA from 1 species